rnacentral:rRNA from 1 species
ACGAACUCUGGUAUUGAUUGGUGCUUGCAUCAUGAUUUACAUUUGAGUGAGUGGCGAACUGGUGAGUAACACGUGGGAAACCUGCCCAUAAGCGGGGGAUAACACCUGGAAACAGAUGCUAAUACCGCAUAACAACUUGGACCGCAUGGUCCGAGUUUGAAAGAUGGCUUCGGCUAUCACUUUUGGAUGGUCCCGCGGCGUAUUAGCUAGAUGGUGAGGUAACGGCUCACCAUGGCAAUGAUACGUAGCCGACCUGAGAGGGUAAUCGGCCACAUUGGGACUGAGACACGGCCCAAACUCCUACGGGAGGCAGCAGUAGGGAAUCUUCCACAAUGGACGAAAGUCUGAUGGAGCAACGCCGCGUGAGUGAAGAAGGGUUUCGGCUCGUAAAACUCUGUUGUUAAAGAAGAACAUAUCUGAGAGUAACUGUUCAGGUAUUGACGGUAUUUAACCAGAAAGCCACGGCUAACUACGUGCCAGCAGCCGCGGUAAUACGUAGGUGGCAAGCGUUGUCCGGAUUUAUUGGGCGUAAAGCGAGCGCAGGCGGUUUUUUAAGUCUGAUGUGAAAGCCUUCGGCUCAACCGAAGAAGUGCAUCGGAAACUGGGGAACUUGAGUGCAGAAGAGGACAGUGGAACUCCAUGUGUAGCGGUGAAAUGCGUAGAUAUAUGGAAGAACACCAGUGGCGAAGGCGGCUGUCUGGUCUGUAACUGACGCUGAGGCUCGAAAGUAUGGGUAGCAAACAGGAUUAGAUACCCUGGUAGUCCAUACCGUAAACGAUGAAUGCUAAGUGUUGGAGGGUUUCCGCCCUUCAGUGCUGCAGCUAACGCAUUAAGCAUUCCGCCUGGGGAGUACGGCCGCAAGGCUGAAACUCAAAGGAAUUGACGGGGGCC